GUAUACCAAGGGGCGCGAGAUAACUCUCUCUAAGGAACUCGGCAAAAUAACCUCGUAACUUCGGAAGAAGAGGUACCCUUGAAAAAGGGUUGCAAUAACCAGACCCUGGCGACUGUUUAUCAAAAACACAGGUCUCCGCUAAUUCGUAAGAAAAAGUAUGGGGGCUGACGCCUGCCCAGUGCCGGAAGGUUAAAGAAGUUGGUUAGUCCUUGGACAAAGCUAGCGACUGAAGCCCCGGUGAACGGCGGCCGUAACGAUAACGGUCCUAAGGUAGCGAAAUUCCUUGUCGGGUAAGUUCCGACCCGCACGAAAGGCGUAACGAUCAGGGUACUGUCUCGGAGAGAGGCUCGGCGAAAUAGACAUGUCUGUGAAGAUGCGGACUACCUGCACCUGGUCAGAAAGACCCUAUGAAGCUUUACUGUAUCUUGGAAUUGGGUUUGGUCUUUGCAUGCGCAGUAUAGGUGGGAGGCUUUGAAGAUGAUCUUGCGGGGUCGUUGGAGCCACUGGUGAGAUACCACCCUUGCAAUGAUAAAAUCCUAACUUUGAACCGUUAUCCGGUCAAAGAACAGUUUCAGGUGGGCAGUUUGACUGGGGCGGUCGCCUCCUAAAAGGUAACGGAGGCGUGCAAAGGUUCCCUCAGGCUGGUUGGACAUCAGUCGUAGAGUGUAAAGGCAUAAGGGAGCUUGACUGCAAGACCAACAAGUCGAGCAGAGACGAAAGUCGGCCUUAGUGAUCCGGCGCUUCCGAGUGGAAGGGGCGUCGCUCAACGGAUAAAAGUUACUCUAAGGAUAACAGGCUGAUCUCCCCCAAGAGUUCACAUCGACGGGGAGGUUUGGCACCUCGAUGUCGGCUCAUCGCAUCCUGGGGCGGUAGUACGUCCCAAGGGUUGGGCUGUUCGCCCAUGAAAGCGGUACGCGAGCUGGGUUCAGAACGUCGUGAGACAGUUCGGUCCAUAUCCGGUGCAGGCGUUAGAGUAUUGCGAAGACUCCUCCUUAGUACGAGAGGACCGGGGGGAAUGCACCGCUGGUGUACCAGUUAUCGUGCCAACGGUAACGCUGGGUAGCCAAGUGCAGUUUGGAUAACUGCUGAAAGCAUCUAAGUAGGAAGCCAGCUUCAAGAUGAGUACUCUCACCGCUUCAAGCGGGUAAGAUCACGGCAAGAACAGCCGUUUGAUAGGCAUCAAGUGUAAGUGCAGUAAUGUAUUCAGCUGAGAUGUACUAAUAGAUCGAGGGCUUAGUA
rnacentral:rRNA from 1 species